ensembl:lncRNA
GAAAGAGAAACAGGAAGGGCCCUCUCUUUUCCCCUCGGCUCCUGCUCCAGCGGCACAAUGUGAUCCACCAGCUAGGAGGGACGCCAAUAAGGCGUCUGAUAAGAUAAGUCUUAUAAAAUAUAUAGAUGUAUGAUAAUUGAGACUGAGCUAACAGAUUGAUUCUGAAUCCUGGCACUUUGCUGAAUUUGUUUACCAUAUCUUCUGGUAAAACUGUUGAGAUCUUUAAUGUAUAGUAUCAUGGCAUCUGAAAACAGCAAGCAGAGAAAUGUCACCACUCCAGAGGCUCGAAUUAUUUGGGGUAGAAGAUAUUUUUUUUUUAAUGGUCAAGUCAAUAAAAGACUCAGUGGACAAAGCCUUGAGGUAAAUGGUUCUCUCUUGUAACUUUUCCCUUUGUGCUUUUUUGCAAGUCACAGUACUCCUCCUUUAAACUCUGCUUUCAUUAAAAAUUUCCUUAACCUUUUACUGUAUUCCAUUUAGCUCUUUGUCUAGGAAGAUGCUGUGGGAGACAUUUCUAUACUUAGGCUGAGACCUUAACCCAAGGAUGGAGGGGAUUUCCUGGUUCCCAAGUGACAGCUCUAUUGGCAAUGUAGAAAGAUCCAUUUUAUUAACCAUGCAAAGAAUUCCUAACUUCAGGAAAACACACCACACCACACACACACACACACACACACACACACCUUCCCUUACCAUCAUACCCUUCCUGCUUCUGCAAACUCCUCACCAUGGCCUGAAGACCUCUGCCUCCCCAAAGUCCUAUUGAUCAAGUUCAAAGCAUUUGCUUAGUUACCUGCUUUGUGAAUGUCAUUGCUUUGUUUGCAGCAAAGAAUGUCCCAUGGUCCUUGCUUGUUUGUUUUAUCAAGUGGCCGCCAUUAUAUGACAUUUACUCCUCUUAUUCAUCUAACUCUUCCCAACAUCAUGUCUUUUCCACAAGCUGUCCCAUUUAAAUUAAGAAAAGCUAGCCUCCCUUUACCCCAAGUGCCACCCCACAGGGGUCUGUCCUCACUGCCUCCUGAUGUGCCUGGAUUUUACUCUCAUCUGAAUUACUGCUUUUCUGCCAAUGAUUUUUUUUUUUCUAUUUGUGAUCCGCCAUUACUCUUGUACAUGCUGGUGAAAAUUCCUACUGGCACAGGCUGCUUAUGAGAUCCUGAACAUUGUAAAAGAAAGCUCUAACACCCUAUAUGGGUAUGGCGAGCAUGCACCCCCAGGUUACGGUGCUCCUCGAGUUAUUUCAAAAAGGUUUUUGGACAGAACUUCAUAUCAGAAGUACAUAGCCAAGUCAGUCAUCGUAUGCAAGAAAGCAAUCCCUGGAGCAAAGAUUCCUGGUGAUCUGUGUUGCCUCUGCUUUAAGUGAUCUGCUGCAGACUGAAGAUGUAUGUCUCCACCCACAGAACACACAGUUGCUGACAUCACACUCUGCUCUGUCUUAUUCUUCCAUUCUCCAUACGUCCCAAGAGAGUAGUUGGCUCUUAAUAAAGGCUUCUCACUGAUUAUGGUCAGCCAGCCACAGCUCCUUAAGGACUCUGCCCAAGUUGACAUGACCUGACUACAAUUGUUGCUUCAUCUGUUCAGAACUGCAAGCAGCACUGAGACUGAACCUAGCAGUAAGCAAAACAAUUGUAGUGAGGGCACCUCCUGGCUCCCAAGAGGCAGCAACUCCAUGUGGCUAGCAGCGUUUUUUUUUUUUGUUUUUUGUUUUGUUUUUUGUUUUUUGUUUUUGUUUUCGCUUUUGUUUGUUUAUUUGUUUUUGCUUUUAUCCAGCCUAAAUAAAGUUCUGUUUCCUUGUAUGAAACCCUUUGUGGCCUUUUGUAUCUUGGUUACUUUUUUUCUUAUGAACAAAUUUGGCUUAUAGAAACAAAAUGCUUUC